AAAUUGAAGAGUUUGAUCAUGGCUCAGAUUGAACGCUGGCGGCAGGCCUAACACAUGCAAGUCGAGCGGUAGCACAGAGAGCUUGCUCUCGGGUGACGAGCGGCGGACGGGUGAGUAAUGUCUGGGAAACUGCCUGAUGGAGGGGGAUAACUACUGGAAACGGUAGCUAAUACCGCAUAACGUCGCAAGACCAAAGUGGGGGACCUUCGGGCCUCAUGCCAUCAGAUGUGCCCAGAUGGGAUUAGCUAGUAGGUGGGGUAACGGCUCACCUAGGCGACGAUCCUAGCUGGUCUGAGAGGAUGACCAGCCACACUGGAACUGAGACACGGUCCAGACUCCUACGGGAGGCAGCAGUGGGGAAUAUUGCACAAUGGGCGCAAGCCUGAUGCAGCCAUGCCGCGUGUGUGAAGAAGGCCUUCGGGUUGUAAAGCACUUUCAGCGGGGAGGAAGGCGUUAAGGUUAAUAACCUUGGCGAUUGACGUUACCCGCAGAAGAAGCACCGGCUAACUCCGUGCCAGCAGCCGCGGUAAUACGGAGGGUGCAAGCGUUAAUCGGAAUUACUGGGCGUAAAGCGCACGCAGGCGGUCUGUCAAGUCGGAUGUGAAAUCCCCGGCUCAACCAGGAACUGCAUUCGAAACUGGCAGGCUAGAGUCUUGUAGAGGGGGGUAGAAUUCCAGGUGUAGCGGUGAAAUGCGUAGAGAUCUGGAGGAAUACCGGUGGCGAAGGCGGCCCCCUGGACAAAGACUGACGCUCAGGUGCGAAAGCGUGGGGAGCAAACAGGAUUAGAUACCCUGGUAGUCCACGCCGUAAACGAUGUCGAUUUGGAGGUUGUGCCCUUGAGGCGUGGCUUCCGGAGCUAACGCGUUAAAUCGACCGCACGGGAGUACGGCCGCAAGGUUAAAACUCAAAUGAAUUGACGGGGGCCCGCACAAGCGGUGGAGCAUGUGGUUUAAUUCGAUGCAACGCGAAGAACCUUACCUGGUCUUGACAUCCACAGAACUUUCCAGAGAUGGAUUGGUGCCUUCGGGAACUGUGAGACAGGUGCUGCAUGGCUGUCGUCAGCUCGUGUUGUGAAAUGUUGGGUUAAGUCCCGCAACGAGCGCAACCCUUAUCCUUUGUUGCCAGCGGUUCGGCCGGGAACUCAAAGGAGACUGCCAGUGAUAAACUGGAGGAAGGUGGGGAUGACGUCAAGUCAUCAUGGCCCUUACGACCGGGCUACACGUGCUACAAUGGCAUAUACAAAGAGAAGCGACCUCGCGAGAGCAAGCGGACCUCAUAAAGUAUGUCGUAGUCCGGAUUGAGUCUGCAACUCGACUCCAUGAAGUCGGAAUCGCUAGUAAUCGUAGAUCAGAAUGCUACGGUGAAUACGUUCCCGGGCCUUGUACACACCGCCCGUCACACCAUGGGAGUGGGUUGCAAAAGAAGUAGGUAGCUUAACCUUCGGGAGGGCGCUUACCACUUUGUGAUUCAUGACUGGGGUGAAGUCGUAACAAGGUAACCGUAGGGGAACCUGCGGUUGGAUCACCUCCUUACCUUAAAGAA
rnacentral:rRNA from 1 species